GACGAACGCUGGCGGCGUGCCUAAUACAUGCAAGUAGAACGCUGAAGAGAGGAGCUUGCUCUUCUUGGAUGAGUUGCGAACGGGUGAGUAACGCGUAGGUAACCUGCCUUGUAGCGGGGGAUAACUAUUGGAAACGAUAGCUAAUACCGCAUAACAAUGGAUGACACAUGUCAUUUAUUUGAAAGGGGCAAUUGCUCCACUACAAGAUGGACCUUCGUUGUAUUAGCUAGUAGGUGAGGUAAUGGCUCACCUAGGCGACGAUACAUAGCCGACCUGAGAGGGUGAUCGGCCACACUGGGACUGAGACACGGCACAGACUCCUAAGGGAGGCAGCAGUAGGGAAUCUUCGGCAAUGGGGGCAACCCUGACCGAGCAACGCCGCGUGAGUGAAGAAGGUUUUCGGAUCGUAAAGCUCGGUUGUAAGUCAAGAACGGGUGUGAGAGUGGAAAGUUCACACUGUGACGGUAGCUUACCAGAAAGGGACGGCUAACUACGUG
rnacentral:rRNA from 1 species